UCCCGAGUAGCUGGGAUUACCGGCACAUACCACCAGGCCUGGCUCAUUUUUUUGUAUUUUUAGUAGAGAUGGGGUUUCACCAUGUUGGCCAGGCUGGUCUUGGACUCCUGACCUCAGGUGAUCCGCCCACCUCAGCCUCCCAAAGUGCUGGGAUUACAGGCGUGAGCCAACCCGCCCGGCUUACAGCAUAUUUUUAAAAAAGAUACUUGCCUGCUACCACUGACUAACUGGCCGAUUUAGAAAGUUGGUUUGGUUUUUAAGGUUUUAAUCUCCUUACAAACAAAAUAAGCAUCAUAACACCUAUACUUCACAGAAUUGUUCUGAGGAUCAAAUAAAAUGAUGUGACAAUAUUUUGAAAAUGAUACAACUUGACUAUAAAUGUUAGUUUUACUUGUAUUAACUAAAAUUGCCAAAUGAGAAUCUUUGUGGACAGGUGUAGGUUGUAUUACGAACAUUUGAACUAUGCCUACUUUUGAUCUAAUAAAAUAUUUUCUGAGCCAGUUUUUAGAGAUGUCGUACAAAAGAAUACUAAGCCUAUCAAUUGAGGAAAUCUUCACUAACUAGAAGAUUAUUUUAAAUCACGGUUCCUGUCAAAUUUAAUAUAAAACAAGGCCAUUAAAAUAACAAGUCACUGGAUUCAAAUUUGAUUUCACUUUCAAGGGGAUACUUCAGUUAAGUGUAUAAAAGCUACUUCAAUUCAACCUAAGUCUACAAAAAAGUCCCUCUGUCCCCUUGGGAGUCCUAAUUUACUGAAAAUAAAAAUUCUGUCUCCAUAACAAGCAAUCUCUGAAUUAGGUCAGAGCAAUACAACUGUGAUUUCCACACCCAGCCCCCCACUGUUUAAUCAGACCAUAACUUCCACCAAAGAGAGACAGAUGGUAAGUCUCCAACCUCCACCAGAGAAACAGAUGGUAAGUAUAGUAUAUAAGCAUCAGGAGUGAUCAUUUAUCACGAACAUUAAAAAUACAGGUAAACAAGUAGAUCACUUACUGGUAGGAGUUUUUGUUGGCUUAGAACCCUCCGUCUCUUUUUCAUCUGUGUAUUUCAGUGCUCUUUUAGCUAGAGGCCUGGUGACUGGUCUAUCUGAAUUGCUCGUGGGAUUCUGAAUGUACUUGCAAGUGGGCAAAUAGAGGUCAUCGGAAUCAUCUCCUGAACCACUUGAUUCACAGAGGCUCACUUCAGACUCGUUGUUUUCUUCUCUAUUAGAGUCAUUGCUCACUUUUUGUCGGAAAGGAGUAAGAUGAACACCCUCUUCCAAAUUAAAAUUUAAACGUUCCUGGCUGAAUCAGCUUUGGUGAUAAGUUAACUUGGUCCUUGCUCCAUUGACAAGCAUUGUGUUGUACAUUUUCAGGGACUCCAGGAAGGCCGGGGGGAGGUGGGGCUGGCGGAAGUGGACGCGGCGACCCUCCUGCCGCAGGCGCGUCCAGAACGAUACCUUGGCCACUACUUCUGCAACAGCUAUCUUCCUCCUCCUCACAUUUCAAGGCUCUUCGAAGCUCUCCAGCCACGGCUAGCCCCGCGCACUGGGCCCUCCAGGACCGUACCACCGUCCGCCGUCGCCUGGAACUACCGCCGCCACAUUCGAAAUUUUCCGCCUCGCUCCUCCAUUGGUUGGCUGGGAGGCGGUCACGUGGCGCAGGAUGCACCCAACACCACCGUCGCAGGCAGAGUCCCGCCCCGCCAGGCGACGUCACGUGACGCACAUUCGCUCAAGUCCACAUCCGGGCAUCCACCUGGCCCUGGGGCGGAGCCUGCGGUCGGGUCUCGGCGACCCGCCGGGACUUUCUAAUCAGAGUCGUGGGGAUUUUACGGGUGGAGUUACUCCGAAACCUUUAAGGCCGAGUGUGAUAGGUAGUUCAAAGCUUCCUGUUUCUUCAGUCUGACAGCUUCAAAUGUCCCGGGUUGUGCUCAAAGCCUCCCUCUUGUGAGAAGAAUCUCUUUGGUUGCCUGUUAAAGCGGUCAGCCAGCUUGCAACACGGAAGCAGCUUUUAGAGGAAUUAAAACCAAAACAAGGAGCAAAUUCUGGAUUAAAAAGAUAUUUGCAACCAUUCUUCCAAUCAAUUUUAGAAAAUUUCCACCACCUCAAAAAGAAAUCCUGAUGAAGAAACAUCCUGAGAAGGUUGACAUGCUGAAUGCCUUAAAGAACUUCAAUUGGGAUGCCAGAUGAAAGUGUAACUAGAAUUUCUAUGGCUUAAAUAACGAGAAUGGUGUCAGAAGCAGGAUCCCAAGCAGAGCUUCUAGUGACCUCCAGGAGCGCUGAGUGAACACUCGAGGUACCAGCACUCGAGGACCCACUUGUGUCCAUGGAUCUCUCAGAGCGGCUCCGGAUGGUGG
rnacentral:lncRNA from 10 species